CAGCAGCCGCGGGAAUACGUAGGGUGCAAGCGUUAAUCGGAAUUACUGGGCGUAAAGCGUGCGCAGGCGGUGUUGUAAGACUGAUGUGAAAUCCCCGGGCUCAACCUGGGAACUGCAUUGGUGACUGCAACGCUGGAGUGCGGCAGAGGGGGAUGGAAUUCCGCGUGUAGCAGUGAAAUGCGUAGAUAUGCGGAGGAACACCGAUGGCGAAGGCAAUCCCCUGGGCCUGCACUGACGCUCAUGCACGAAAGCGUGGGGAGCAAACAGGAUUAGAUACCCCCGUAGUCCCUGUCUCUUAUAC
rnacentral:rRNA from 1 species